rnacentral:rRNA from 1 species
AUGCUUUGCUUAAAAAAAUACCAUUUCAACUGCUUUUCAGAACUCAUUAAUUACGUGCUAACAUGUAGAUUCCAUUAUGAAAUCUAAGCUCAAAACUCAUACUCGAAAGCUAAACAUAGAAAUCAUAUAUCAUUAAUAAACUCAUAGUCAACCACGUUAAGCAUUUGGUUAUAAGAAAUAGCUUUUCGUUUUAAAAAGAAUAAUUUUCAAAACUUGUUUUUGUCACUCACAGUCUUAGACUAGUUCCCCAGUGUGUAAACCCGACAUAUUUCCUCUUGGCCCAUCAAACAACCAAAACUGAGUAUUAGAAACCUAAAUAUUAUGAUCUUCAAAUGUUAUGCUUGACAAGGUUCACUAAAGAUGAUUCUUAAGAAGUUUAACUUUCAGAAAUAAAACCAUAUUCCACACAUUUCUCAAAAUCAAAUGAUCACAACUUUUCCAAUACUUAACCAAAAUAAGAGUUCUUUAUGUCAAACUCUUCAUUUUGAGGUCCUCUAUAACUUACCUCAAGUCAUGUAAAUCUGAUUCCUUGUGUAUAAUCUCAGACAUCCCUCGAAAUAAAACUACUCCAACAAUCGCAUACACCACGACCCCUUUAACUUGUCCCUACAAUUUAACUUAUUUCAAGUCGUGUUUGGUUCACAAUUUCUUCAUGAAAGUUGUAGUAAAUUGAAUAAGCUUCCCAACCAUACCAAAUACAGAUUCUAACUCCAUCGAUACACCCUGAAAUAAUAAAUAAAAUAGAGAUCUCCUGAUUUCGCAUGAAAACAACCUGCCAUGUCUUCUCUGUCAAAAUUCACCAAACCUCUUUGUUUCCUUUUUAUCUUUUCUUGUCUUUUUCUUCUCUUUUUAUUUUAUUUAACAAAACAUUUAGUUAAUUAUAUAAAAUAAAUAAUAUAAUCAAUUUCCUUUUUUCUUUUAUAUAUAUAAAAAGAAAUAAUAAUCCAAAAAGAAUCUCGGGUUUACAAUGCGAGAGCGGUACCAAAUCAAGGCAAACUCUGAAUACUAGAUAUGAUCUCAAAAUCACAGGGGUCAAGGUCUGCCAAUGAGACGAUGGAGGAUAAACUUCAUCAUCGAGAGGGAAACAUCCCAGAUCACCAGCUAAGGCCUCUAAAUAACUUCUUAGUGAUAAAGGAAGUAGAGGUGCUGAGACAACCAGAAGGUUUGCCUAGAAUCAAACAGCCUUGAAAAAGUACGUAAUAGCUCACUGAUCGAGCGCUCUUGCACCGAAGAUGAACAUGGCAAGAGAUUUACCAAAGCUGUGGGAUAUCAAAAUGAAUCGGUGGAGGAGCCUUCUGCCUUAGAGGGAAGCACCUGUGCGAGUAGUGGUGGAUGAAGCAGAAGCGAGAAUGUUGACUUUUUUAAGGCAAACAUUGGUGAGAAUCCAAUGCCCCAAAAACUUCUCCAUAGGGGUUCUUCCACAAGGUUCGUCCACGAAGGGUGAGUCAGGGCCUAAGAGCAAACCAAAAGGCAUAGUUGAUGGACAAGAGGUGUAUAUUCCAGUACUACCCCUUGUUGGUCUCGAAGGAUGGAGGAGGCUAGGUUUAUUGAAAGAUGGUUAUCGAUUCAAGAACGUAAGGUGCCCCUAUUUUAGGGUCGAAAGGGGUAAAAAAAAUAUCUCGAGCCAAUGUUCAAGUACCAGGUGCUAUAACAUUCAAGUCACCAAUGCCAUACUCCCAAGAAAAGUCAAACAACCUUCAACAAAAGGGUACCUGUACCCGAAACCGACACAGGUGGGUAGGUAGAGAAUACCUAGGGGCACGAGACAACUCUCUCUAAGGAACUCACCAAAAUAGCCCCGUAACUUUGAGAGAAGAGGUGCCUUCUCACAAAUGGGGUCGUAGUGACCAGGCCUAGGCAACUAUUUGCCAAAAACACAAGUCUCCACAAAGUCGUAAGACUAUGUAUAGGGGCUAACGCAUGCCCAGUGUCGGAAGGUCAAGGAAGUUGGUGACCUGAUAACAAGAGAGCAUAAGAUUGAAGCCUCGGUGAACGACAAUCAUCACUACAAUGGUCGCCACGGAGCGGUACCGAAAUUCCUUGUAGGGUUAGUUUUAACCCACACGAAAGGCAUAACGAUCUUGGCACUAUCUUAGAAAGAGGCUCGGUGAAAUAGACAUGUCUGUGAAUGUUGGAAUUUGUGUCCUAAAACUCGUACUUUGUUAUUUGAUUCAACAAAUUUUAUUAUUGAAUGCUAUAAUCUUAAAACCAAUAAGUUAAAGUCCCGAGGCUAUUUUACUGAGUUUGUCUAAUACAAUUGAACUUUAUGUAGAGUCAUAAACAUGGAUUAAGUUCAAGUUAAUAGCCCAAAUAGUCUAUAGUGUAUGAAUAAGGUUAGACGCCUUGCCCGCUCCGUAGUUAGUACAAACGAUGUAAUCCUGAAUUGUUCACGUAGAGACAUGGAAGUGGGGGCAUCCUAUGUAAAUGGUUUGUAUAAGACUGGAACCACGAAAUAGUCACUUUUUGUUAUAACACCGUAAACCAUAAACUAACUAUUUCAAUUAUGAUGGGCUAGGUAACUUGAUCAUAAUCCUAAGCUAACUAUGACUUUUAUUCAUUCGGUAGUAUCCUUAGAUCUAUAUAGGUGAGGGCAGCUCAUCAUCGUUGGCCCAAUAAGUCUCACAUUUUAGGGAUAAGACCGAAUGGAUAGCUAGGGACAUAGGGUGCAAGACGGACUUCACUCCUACCCAUUUCUGGGAUAGUAGAUAGGUUGUUCCCUUAAAGACUGAAUCCAAGUCUUGAACAAGGGACCCCACCUUCUCAUUAGCCCGCGAAGGAUUCAGGUUUAUAGGUUGGACCUUAAACCAAUUGUUCAAUAGUGGAUCAGUGGGUCUUAACGAUCAUGAUGUAAUCUCGGGGGUAAAACGGUAUUUUGACCUAGCUAAGAUUACGAAAAACCUGUGAA